UCCCAACUUCCUUGCCACAAGGACUCUCACUCCCUUCAUUUCCUGGGCCAUUAUCAUCAUAUGGAAUGCCUCACGUUUGUCAGUAUAAUGCUGUGGCGGGGGCGGGGUAUCCAGUACAGUGGGUAGGAAUUUCAGGAACAACACAACAAUCUGUAGUAAUUCCCGCCCAAUCUGGGGGACCAUUCCAGCCAGGGAUGAAUAUGCAGGCAUUUCCAACUUCAUCAGUGCAGAAUCCUGCCACAAUCCCUCCUGGUCCUAAAUGAAUCAGAGUAGAUGGUGAUAAAAAGGGAGGUUUUUUCAGAAUUAUUUUCAGGACA
rnacentral:lncRNA from 1 species